rnacentral:rRNA from 1 species
CACACAGUAAACGAUAAUCACUGGGUGUCGGGUUCGUAGAGGAUUCGGUGCCGUAGCUAACGCGAUAAGUGAUUCGCCUGGGGAGUACGAUCGCAAGGUUGAAACUCAAAGGAAUUGACGGGGGCCCGCACAAGCGGUGGAGCAUGUGGUUUAAUUCGAGGCAACGCGAAGAACCUUACCCGGUCUUGACAUCUGCAGUAGGUUUCAGAGAUGAGGCCGUGCCGGCUUUGCCGGAGCUGCAAGACAGGUGC